rnacentral:rRNA from 1 species
UACGUAGGGGGCAAGCGUUGUCCGGAAUCAUUGGGCGUAAAGAGCGCGUAGGCGGCCCUGUAAGUCCGCUGUGAAAGUCAAGGGCUCAACCCUUGGAUGCCGGUGGAUACUGCAGGGCUAGAGUCCGGAAGAGGCGAGUGGAAUUCCUGGUGUAGCGGUGAAAUGCGCAGAUAUCAGGAGGAACACCGGUGGCGAAGGCGGCUCUCUGGGCCUUACCUGACGCUGAGGAGCGAAAGCGUGGGUAGCGAACAGG